rnacentral:misc_RNA from 1 species
AAGUCGUAACAAGGUUUCCGUAGGUGAACCUGCGGAAGGAUCAUUACCGAUUUUAGCGAACCCGGUCGCUUCUGACUGAGGUCUCGCAACCUGUAUUUAAAACCCACGCUUUUUUUAAUAAUAAAAAUUAUCGUAUCAAAUUAUUAUGAUAAAAGAUCACUUUCAACAACGGAUCUCUUGGCUCUC